UGAAUCUAUGUAUAUGUGUAUAUACAUAUAUGUGUGUGUGUGUAUAUAUAUAUAUAUAUAUACACACACACACAUAUAUGUAUAUACACAUAUACAUA
rnacentral:miRNA from 1 species